rnacentral:rRNA from 1 species
UACGUAGGGGGCUAGCGUUGUCCGGAUUUAUUGGGCGUAAAGAGCGUGUAGGCGGCUAUACAGGUCCGCUGUGAAAACUCGAGGCUCAACCUCGAGACGUCGGUGGAAACCGUAUGGCUAGAGUCCGGAAGAGGAGAGUGGAAUUCCUGGUGUAGCGGUGAAAUGCGCAGAUAUCAGGAAGAACACCCGUGGCGAAGGCGGCUCUCUGGGACGGUACUGACGCUGAGACGCGAAAGCGUGGGGAGCGAACAGG